UCUGACGGAGCAACGCCGCGUGAGUGAUGAAGGUUUUCGGAUCGUAAAGCUCUGUUGUUAGGGAAGAACAAGUGCAAGAGUAACUGCUUGCACCUUGACGGUACCUAACCAGAAAGCCACGGCUAACUACGUGCCAGCAGCCGCGGUAAUACGUAGGUGGCAAGCGUUGUCCGGAAUUAUUGGGCGUAAAGGGCUCGCAGGCGGUUUCUUAAGUCUGAUGUGAAAGCCCCCGGCUCAACCGGGGAGGGUCAUUGGAAACUGGGAAACUUGAGUGCAGAAGAGGAGAGUGGAAUUCCCACGUGUAGCGGUGAAAUGCGUAGAGAUGUGGAGGAACACCAGUGGCGAAGGCGACUCUCUGGUCUGUAACUGACGCUGAGGAGCGAAAGCGUGGGGAGCGAACAGGAUUAGAUACCCUGGUAGUCCACGCCGUAAACGAUGAGUGCUAAGUGUUAGGGGGUUUCCGCCCCUUAGUGCUGCAGCUAACGCAUUAAGCACUCCGCCUGGGGAGUACGGUCGCAAGACU
rnacentral:rRNA from 1 species